rnacentral:rRNA from 1 species
UACAGAGGUCUCAAGCGUUGUUCGGAUUCAUUGGGCGUAAAGGGUGCGUAGGCGGCGCGGUAAGUCGGGUGUGAAAUCUCGGAGCUUAACUCCGAAACUGCAUUCGAUACUGCCGUGCUUGAGGACUGGAGAGGAGACUGGAAUUCCGGGUGUAGUGGUGAAAUGCGUAGAGAUCCGGAGGAACACCAGUGGCGAAGGCGACACGCUGGGCCGUACCUGACACUGAUGCGCGACAGCAUGGGGAGCAAACAGG